GAUGAACGCUGGCGGCGUGCCUAAUACAUGCAAGUCGAGCGAACGGACGAGAAGCUUGCUUCCCUGAUGUUAGCGGCGGACGGGGGAGUAACACGUGGAUAACCUACCUAUAAGACUGGGAUAACUUCGGGAAACCGGAGCUAAUACCGGAUAAUAUUUUGAACCGCAUGGUUCAAAAGUGAAAGACGGUCUUGCUGUCACUUAUAGAUGGAUCCGCGCUGCAUUAGCUAGUUGGUAAGGUAACGGCUUACCAAGGCAACGAUGCAUAGCCGACCUGAGAGGGUGAUCAGCCACACUGGAACUGAGACACGGUCCAGACUCCUACGGGAGGCAGCAGUAGGGAAUCUUCCGCAAUGGGCGAAAGCCUGACGGAGCAACGCCGCGUGAGUGAUGAAGGUCUUCGGAUCGUAAAACUCUGUUAUUAGGGAAGAACAUAUGUGUAAGUAACUGUGCACAUCUUGACGGUACCUAAUCAGAAAGCCACGGCUAACUACGUG
rnacentral:rRNA from 1 species